GAUGAACGCUAGCUACAGGCUUAACACAUGCAAGUCGAGGGGCAGCAUGAACUUAGCUUGCUAAGUUUGAUGGCGACCGGCGCACGGGUGAGUAACACGUAUCCAACCUGCCGAUGACUCGGGGAUAGCCUUUCGAAAGAAAGAUUAAUACUGGAUAGCAUAACGAGAAGGCAUCUUCUUGUUAUUAAAGAAUUUCGAUAAUCGAUGGGGAUGCGUUCCAUUAGUUUGUUGGCGGGGUAACGGCCCACCAAGACAUCGAUGGAUAGGGGUUCUGAGAGGAAGGUCCCCCACAUUGGAACUGAGACACGGUCCAA
rnacentral:rRNA from 1 species